rnacentral:piRNA from 1 species
UAUCAGAGUCACUCUCCUACCUUCCUGGUC